GCGAGCGGUGAUUGGCGGAGGGCUCGACGGCGAGGUGGUCCGCAGAGAAUUCUCAUUGGAUGAUUCCCUCGCUCCCCUGUCCAUCACUCCCAUCUCCCCCUUUCCUCUUGUGCGACUGGGAGGCCGACAGCGGCGGCGGGGACAGAGCAUACAACGAUUCUGCGCCGGCAACCAAUCCCAAAUCACCCAGCCAGAUUUACUAUGUCCUCGACAGCCGGGGAUGAAGGUCAUGCUCGCGGCUCGCCGCCGUAUGUCCAGAAUCAAUGCCACGUCCGCCUACAAUUCCAUCCAGGCUCGCUAAUCUGCAUCCAUGUUUCUUUUCUGAUCUCUUCCCAAUCUGACCUGUUCACAUAAUUUUAUACGGCCAUAUUUUAGAUAGGCUCUUGAUGAGUGCACCAUGUAUCCAUGGUUGCAAAAUGAUUCCUGAGAUUUCCUUGGUAAAAUAUCUGGAAUAUUUUAGUUGUACAUAAAUUUGUUGUGCCAUCAUAACCAUUUGUUUAUUCACUAGUAUAAAAAUACCAAAGUGAAUUCUCUAUACAUACAUACAAGAAGCACCUCUUUAAUUAGUAAUUUGCUGGUAGAAUCAUCGAUCUGUUAUUAUUUGACAUAAGAAAGCUAUUACAAAUGCUAUAGGCAAUUGCAUGGAAAUUGAUCUGAGAAAUUGUUGUCGAGAUAGGUAAUCAAAUACUUGAGAACAGUUGCUCUUUAAGAUUUCCUGAGCUUUACUCUGGGUGCUCAAGUGAAGCAAUUACUUCUCACUGGAGGGUUUGUUUCUUUACUGGACUGGUCAUGUUGUUCCUAUUUUCUCUUUUAUUCAGAUAUACCUUGGAUUUCUAAAUAAGAAAGAGGUAUGCUGAACAAGAUUCAGGUCGUGCUAAGACAUCAACAAUCUAUGCCAACAAGCCUCCACUAUCUAUUGCAGAAAUGAAGAACCGAUUGCUGGUGAUGUUCAGAAUAAUAAGGGAAGUGCCUUAAACCUGAAUAUCAAAUGAAAAGUUGAGCUGCACGUUGGGGUAUCCGUUCAAGUGGUUGAUGGCUAAUGUAUGAUGGAUAAAGAGUAGCGUCUUGGUAUUUAUGCAAAAUCCAGGUUGUGAGAAGAAAAGUGAACCUCAAUGCCACCGUACAAUUAAUAGGAUACUAUGUUGCUUCCAGCCCGUGGAUAAGAAUGUUUUAGUCGCUGGGGUCCUAGAGAGAUUGGUGAACAGAUGAAGCUGAUGGGAGAUCUCUGGUCACCUGCAAGUUAAGCUAAUUUAAGAUCAAGUUCGACAAUUACUUAGUUUCAAGUUCAGCAGUACCGCAGUAGUUAGUAUUCAAGUUCAGCAGCAAUUUUGUAAUAGUGAUUUCUGAAAUUUUCAUGUUGCUGGUUAGUUACUGCUAAGUGGCAUUCAAU